rnacentral:rRNA from 1 species
AACCUGCCCAAGAGAUCGGGAUAACACCUGGAAACAGAUGCUAAUACCGGAUAACAACAGAUGAUGCCUAUCAACUGUUUAAAGAUGGUUCUGCUAUCACUCUUGGAUGGACCUGCGGUGCAUUAGCUAGUUGGUAGGGUAACGGCCUACCAAGGCGAUGAUGCAUAGCCGAGUUGAGAGACUGAUCGGCCACAUUGGGACUGAGACACGGCCCAAACUCCUACGGGAGGCAGCAGGG